rnacentral:lncRNA from 1 species
UUUUUUUUUAUUUUUUUUUUAUUGGUGUUCAAUUUACUAACAUACAGAAUAACACCCAGUGCCCGUCACCCAUUCACUCCCACCCCCGCCCCUCCUCCCUUCUACCACCCCUAGUUCGUUUCCCAGAGUUAGCAGUUUAUGUUCUGUCUCCCUUUCUGAUAUUUCCCACACAUUUCUUCUCCCUUCCCUUAUUUUCCCUUUCACUAUUUUUAUAUCCCCAAAUGAAUGAGAACAUAUAUUUUGUCCUUCUCCAAUUGACUUCAUCACUCAGCAUAAUACCCUCCAGCUCCAUCCACGUUGAGCAAAUGGUGGGUAUUUGUCAUUUCAAUAGCUGAGUAAUAUUCCAUUUUAACAUAAACCACAUCUUCUUAUCCAUUCAUUUCGUUGGACACCGAGGCUCCUUCCACAGUUUGGCUAUCGUGGCCCUGUGCUGCGAAACAUCGGGGUGCAGGUGUCCCGGCGUUUCAUUGCUUUGUAUCUUUGGGGUAAAUCCCCAACAGUGCAAUUGCUGGGUCGUAGGGCAGGUUAUUUUUAAUGUUUGAGGAACCUCCACACAGUUUUCCAGAGUGGCUGCACCAGUUCACAUUCCCACCAACAGUGUAAGGGUUCCCUUUUCUCCACAUCCUCUCCAACAUUUGUUGUUUCCUGCCUUGUUAAUUUUUCCCAUUCUCACUGGUGUGAGGUGGUAUCUCAUUGUGGUUUUGAUUUGUAUUUCCCUGAUGCGAGUGAUGCAGAGCAUUUUCUCAUGUGCAUGUUGGCCAUGUCUAUGUCUUCUUCUGUGAGAUUUCUGUUCAUGUCUUUUGCCCAUUUCAUGAUUUGAUUGUUUGUUUCUUUGGUGUUGAGUUUAAUAAGUUCUUUAUAGAUCUUGGAAACUAGCCCUUUAUCUGAUAUGUCAUUUGCAAAUAUCUUCUCCCAUUCUGUAGGUUGUCUUUGAGUUUUGUUGACUGUAUCCUUUGCUGUGCAAAAGCUUCUUAUCUUGUUGAAGUCCCAAUAGUUCAUUUUUGCUUUUGUUUCUUUUGCCUUCGUGGAUGUAUCUUGCAAGAAAGUACUAUGGCCGAGUUCAAAAAGGGUGUUGCCUGUGUUCUUCUCUGGAUUUUGAUGGAAUCUUGUCUCACAUUUAGAUCUUUCAUCCAUUUUGAGUUUAUCUUUGUGUAUGGUGAAAGAGAGUGGUCUAGUUUCAUUCUUUGCAUGUGGAUGUCCAAUUUUCCNNNNNNNNNNNNNNNNNNNNNNNNNAGCACCAUUUAUUGAAGAGACUGUCUUUCUUCCAAUGGAUAGUCUUUCCUCCUUUAUCGAAUAUUAGUUGCCCAUAAAGUUCAGGGUCCACUUCUGGAUUCUCUAUUCUGUUCCACUGAUCUAUGUGUCUGUUUUUGUGCCAGUACCACACUGUCUUGAUGACCACAGCUUUGUAGUACAACCUGAAAUCUGGCAUUG